UACAGAGGUGGCAAGCGUUGUUCGGAAUUACUGGGCGUAAAGGGCGCGUAGGCGGUCAUCUAAGUCAGACGUGAAAUCCCCCGGCUUAACCUGGGAACUGCGUCUGAUACUGGAUGGCUUGAGUGCGGGAGAGGGAUGCGGAAUUCCAGGUGUAGCGGUGAAAUGCGUAGAUAUCUGGAGGAACACCGGUGGCGAAGGCGGCAUCCUGGACCGACACUGACGCUGAAGCGCGAAAGCUAGGGUAGCAAACGGG
rnacentral:rRNA from 1 species